CCAGUUCUCUGCAAUUCUGGAUCUCACUCACCCGUGCGCACCAACCCACGACUCCAGCAGUUGUGUUUCAUCUCCUUUCACACUCAAGAUUUUUUUUCGGCUUCUUGAACAGAGUGGUGGUGUUACUUUUAGAGUUCUGGCUCAAGGU